rnacentral:rRNA from 1 species
AUUGAACGCUGGCGGAAUGCUUUACACAUGCAAGUCGAACGGCAGCACGGACUUCGGUCUGGUGGCGAGUGGCGAACGGGUGAGUAAUACAUCGGAACGUGCCCAGUCGUGGGGGAUAACGUAGCGGAAGCUACGCUAAUACCGCAUACGAUCUAAGGAUGAAAGCGGGGGAUCGCAAGACCUCGCGCGAUUGGAGCGGCCGAUGGCAGAUUAGGUAGUUGGUGGGGUAAAGGCCUACCAAGCCGACGAUCUGUAGCUGGUAUGAGAGGACGAGCAGCGACACUGGGACUGAGACACGGCGCAGACUCCUGUGGGAGGCAGCAUGGGGGAAAUUUGGACAAUGGGCGCAAGCCUGAUCCAGCCAUGCCGCGUGGAGGAUGAAGGCCCUCGGGUUGUGAACUGCUAUUGUACGGAACGAAAAGGCUCUGGUUAAUACGCGGGGCUCAGGACGGUACCGUAAGAAUAAGCACCGGCUAACUACGUGCCGGCGGACGCGGUAA